CAGCCGCCGCGGUAACACCAGCCCCUCGAGUGGUGGGGAUGAUUAUUUGGUCUAAAGCGUCCGUAGCCUGCCGUGUAAGUUUCCCGUUAAAUCCAGCGUCUUAAGCGUUGGACUGCGGGAAAUACUGCACGGCUAGAGAGUGGGAGAGGUCAGCGGUAUUCUGGGGGUAGGGGCGAAAUCCUUUGAUCCCCGGAGGACCACCAGUGGCGAAGGCUGCUGACUAGAACACGUCUGACGGUCAGGGACGAAAGCUGGGGUAGCGAACCGGAUUAGAUACCCGGGUAGUCCCAGCUGUAAACUAUGCAAACUCAGUGAUGCAUUGGCUUGAUGCCAAUGCAGUGCUGCAGGGAAGCCGUUAAGUUUGCCGCCUGGGAAGUACGUACGCAAGUAUGAAACUUAAAGGAAUUGGCGGGGGAGCAC
rnacentral:rRNA from 2 species